rnacentral:rRNA from 1 species
AUUGAACGCUGGCGGCAGGCCUAACACAUGCAAGUCGAACGAGUGGCGGACGGGUGAGUUAUGUCUGGGCCACUGCCUGAUGGAGGGGGUUAACUACUGGAAACGGUAGCUAAUACCGCAUACAAUAGGCUGUGCCGAGAUGGGAUUAGCUAGGUGGUGGGGUAACGGCUCACCACGGCGACGAUCCCUAGCUGGUCUGAGAGGAUGACCAGCCACACUGGAACUGAGACACGGUCCAGACUCCUACGGGAGGCAGCAGUGGGGAAUAUUGCACAAUGGGCGCAAGCCUGAUGCAGCCAUGCCGCGUGUAUGAAGAAGGCCUUCGGGUUGUAAAGUACUUUCAGUGGGGAGGCGUUACCCGCAGAAUAAGCACCGGCUAACUCCGUGCCAGCAGCCGCGGUAAUAC